UACGUAGGCAGCAAGCGUUGUUCGGAGUUACUGGGCGUAAAGAGUAUGUAGGCGGUUGGGUAAGUUUGGUGUGAAAUCUCCCGGCUUAACUGGGAGGGUGCGCUAAAGACUGCCCGGCUCGAGUGUGGGAGAGGAAAGCGGAAUUCCUGGUGUAGCGGUGAAAUGCGUAGAUAUCAGGAGGAACACCUGCGGUGUAGACGGCUUUCUGGACCAUAACUGACGCUGAGAUACGAAAGCGUGGGUAGCAAACAGG
rnacentral:rRNA from 1 species